GUCGAGCGGACAGAUGGGAGCUUGCUCCCUGAUGUUAGCGGCGGACGGGUGAGUAACACGUGGGUAACCUGCCUGUAAGACUGGGAUAACUCCGGGAAACCGGGGCUAAUACCGGAUGCUUGUUUGAACCGCAUGGUUCAAACAUAAAAGGUGGCUUCGGCUACCACUUACAGAUGGACCCGCGGCGCAUUAGCUAGUUGGUGAGGUAAUGGCUCACCAAGGCAACGAUGCGUAGCCGACCUGAGAGGGUGAUCGGCCACACUGGGACUGAGACACGGCCCAGACUCCUACGGGAGGCAGCAGUAGGGAAUCUUCCGCAAUGGACGAAAGUCUGACGGAGCAACGCCGCGUGAGUGAUGAAGGUUUUCGGAUCGUAAAGCUCUGUUGUUAGGGAAGAACAAGUACCGUUCGAAUAGGGCGGUACCUUGACGGUACCUAACCAGAAAGCCACGGCUAACUACGUGCCAGCAGCCGCGGUAAUACGUAGGUGGCAAGCGUUGUCCGGAAUUAUUGGGCGUAGAGGGCUCGCAGGCGGUUUCUUAAGUCUGAUGUGAAAGCCCCCGGCUCAACCGGGGAGGGUCAUUGGAAACUGGGGAACUUGAGUGCAAAAGAGGAGAGUGCAUUUCCACGUGUAG
rnacentral:rRNA from 1 species